CGGGGUAUAGUAUAGUGGUAGUACGCUGGCUUCGGGAGUCAGUAGCCCCGGUUCGAAUCCGGGUACCCCGA
rfam:Parcubacteria group bacterium RIFCSPLOWO2_01_FTLL_48_18 rifcsplowo2_01_scaffold_313, whole genome shotgun sequence.